rnacentral:rRNA from 1 species
AGUGAACGCUGGCGGUAGGCCUAACACAUGCAAGUCGAACGGCAGCACAGUAAGAGCGUGCUCUGACGGGUGGCGAGUCGCGGACGGGAGAGGAAAACAACGGAAUCUACUUUUUCGUGGGGGAUAACGUAGGGAAACUUACGCUAAUACAGCAUACGACCUACGGGGGAAAGCAGGGGAACUUCGGACCUUGCGCGAAUGAAUGAGCCGAUGUGGGAUUAGAUAGUUGGCGGGGUAAAGGCCCACCAAGGCGACGAUCCGUAGCUGGUGUGAGAGGAUGAUCGGCCGCACUGGAACUGGGACACGGUCCAGGCGCCUGCGGGAGGGCGCAGUGGGGAAUAUGGGGCAAUGGGGGGAAGCCUGAUCCAGCCGUACGGCGUGGGUGAAGAAGGCCUUGGGGUUGUAAUGACCGUUUGUUGGGAAAGAAAAGCAGCAGGUUAAUACCCCGCUGUUCUGACGGUACCCAAAGAAGAAGCACCGGCUAACUUCGUG